UCCCGCUGUAAGCGACGCAUCCGAGUCC
rnacentral:piRNA from 1 species